AUGUCUAUCCCUCCUGAAGAAGUAAAAGAAGCUGCUGUAGAUGAAGAUGAAGAACCUGAGAUUCAUUUGCCUAUUGUCAUACAAGAGCGUGAUGUGUCAGGUUUACCUAAUCCUCUUAAUGACAUGUCUUCAUAUGAUUUGUUUGCUACUACCUUGCAUUGUAUGAUGCCAUCACUUAAGGUAGAUUUGAAAAACUAUUUGCUUGUACAUGAUCAUACACACCCUGUUAGUGGCAUUGCUCAUAUCUCUGUUCAUGAUACUUAUGUUCCUGAUGCUAUACCCACGCUUAAUGAAACAUGUGAUUCUAAUACUAGCAUUGAGCUUACUGAUUUGUACCAUCCUAAACAUGUGCUUUAUAGCUAUGCUUAUGUAAUUGGUUAUUCUAUUGAUGAUUUAGAGGGUAUUACCCCUGUCACUUGUAUCAUCUCCUUGGUUGAGUGCUCUUUCAGGUUGUUGCUUGUGCAUGAUCCACUACAUGCUGAUCAAGUUCGAUAUGACAUUCCCUGGGACCUCGGUGGACCCAUGGCAUGGGGAUGA
rnacentral:rRNA from 1 species